CCGGCUCGGCUCUGAUGGAGGCGGCGCCGAAUUCGGCUGCGCUGAGCAUCCCGGGUUGUUGGUAAAGAUCUUGGUGCCUGGAAGGUCAGAGCUUCGUCUCCUGAAAUGGUUUAUGCCCUGGCGCCACGUUCUGUGGCUUAUAAUCACUUUCGUCCUCGCCGCAUGAGGAAGCAAAUGACACCGCCCCUUACCCUGGAAAAGUGGCUGCAGCCUUCCCUGGAUCUUAGUUUUACUCACCCCGAAGUCAAUUUCUCGUCGUCUCUGCCUUGAACCUUGGAAACAAGUGCUUUCAACAUAAGCGAUGUAAAGGCAUUAAAACAUGUUGAAUGGCUGUGUGCACAGGAUAUCCUACACCUGCCUGACAUCUGGAAUGCAGGUGAAUCAAUCUGACCUGAUGGAGCCACCCACACUUUAGAAGAAUCUCAAAUACAGCCAACCCUGAUCUUCUUCAGCUGAAAAUCAU
rnacentral:lncRNA from 1 species